AGCCGUCCAGCAGUGUCACCACUGAAGAGAGCCCGUCCAGUCGGUCGGCCGGCGGCGUCAGCGUCAUGCCGGGAGGAACCUGCCACGCCACAGACAACCAAUAAAGGUAAGUAGUGUUAGUCAAUAGCCCGCUGCCCAUUUGCAGAAAAGGUCUAUCGGCCUUCUGUAGAAGUUACCUGGAUUUUAUUGAGUCUGGCAACCAACUGCUUGGACUUCGCCUCCACUAUGGCUUUCAUCCUGAUGACCUCCACCGACAUGGGGACCGCCGUGACCGCGCC